UAGAACGUAAUUUAAUGGUAAAAUAAUGAAUUCCAAAUUCAUUCUUGUAAGUUCGAGUCUUACCGUUUUCG